AGCUCAGGACGAGUCAAAGGGCCGGGAUUUUCUAAGAAAGAAAAAAGAGACAAUCGGCUCCCGAAAUCUGUUGUGUAUUUGGGUGUGUUUUAGAAGUUUGAUUUUUCCCUUUUCCCAAAUAAAAGGCAUGUUAGGUUCUUGAGGUUGCGCACAGGGGGCCAGCACUUAGAUACGUGAUAGAGGGGCGCAUGCGACACCCCCAAGAAAGCCUGCACAGUGACUAGACAACGUCCCACUAUCAGAGAGCUCAGUCCUACCCACUGUGUGGUGCUGGAGCUGGAGUAGUGCUGCCCCGAAUGUUAACUUGAAACUGGAGCAAUACUAGCAGAGGCCAGUAUGAUUUAACCGUUGAAUGCAUUUUAUUUUUUCAAGUUUCUUCUCCAUAGCUUCCAAGAACCAUGUGUUUUACCACUCAGUCGUCAUAAAGAUGAAAUACAUCUGUGGAAUGACAGUUGAAAUUAACUAAUGGACAAACACUCUCAGAGCACAUCCUGCAGUCCUAGCGGUGCACUAGGACAUCGGAAGCAAAGAAGAAGAGGGGAUGGCCAUGACCUAGAGCAGCUGCCAGCCUUGCUGAUGUACUGGAGGAAGGGAAACCAUUCCCAGCGUACUGAUGUCAUGUCAAGGAUGAUCCGUGACCAACGAUAGUUUUUUUACGUUUUUAAACAAAACUCCUUAGCAACAGUUGCUUGUGAAAUACACAUUUGACAUUUUAACAAUAUGGUAUUGGUUGGAUGCAGAGCCCAGGAAUAUCUCCCCAUAGUUGUCAAAACAAAUUCAACGACAAGAUAAUGAGUGGGUUCAAGUAAUUAAUAAUAUUUUGGUGGAAGUGCCACUAACCAAGUGGUAGAAGACGAGCUGGAAAUGACAGCUGCUAUACAUAAUGAUCAUAUUUUCCCUCCCCUCCCACAAAUCCUAUUAGACUAUUUUAUAAAAGAGAGAUAAGGGGAAAGCAUCUUAGCAGAAAAAAAAAUGCAGAUAUAACAUAUGGAAGAAUUUGUCUUACCUUCAUCCUUUAAUUCCAAUUUAUCCUUUGCCUGGAGAUGGUAGCACAGACACUAUUCCUGUGAGGCUGGGUCCCCCGGGGUUGGGGAAAAUAACUUACCUUGAACAACUCUUCCCAGCUGACUUUCACUUUGCCUUUGGAUGUGCCAUGCACUGUGUAAGGCCCUACUUAUUAUAUAGAUGAUUCUCUCUGCUUUGCUAUUUUUUCCCUUGUGUUAAAGGGACACCUGAUAGUGUCCCACAGGGCUAUGUUUAUAUUCACCUCAUGGCUCCCCACUUAUGUGAAUGAAAGUUAGACACUGCUGUAAGGUUUUUUGGUUCUUGCUUUGUUGGAAAAGCUUUCAGUGACAGUAUCUGUGAUCACUGGUGUAUUAAAUGUCAGGCCUCGAAUAAUUACUCUGCCCUGAGCUGAUAGUAAACCAAGAGACUAAUCCUUUAUUUUUCAUCCCAAGCAAGAAAACUGCUGUUAGGAUUCAACACAUACAAGUCAAACAUGCUCAGACUCAGCCCCAAUGUGUCUCCCACCUUACUGAAAAAAAAAAAAGAAGGAAGGAAGAAAAAAAAAAAAAGAAAAAAAUGAGUUCACAGAACCUAGGCUAAAUAUUACCAUUAAGAGGAAAUUACAUUCACCAUCUUUCCAUGAAAAUGGCGAAGAGAACCCAAAUAAAAGCCAGGAUAUAUCUUGGAACUUACUGAUU
rnacentral:lncRNA from 12 species